CUUUGAAACAUCAGUUCUCUUCCAAUCACCAACAUUAAGCAAUGUUGUGCCUGUUCAGUACCUAGAUGGGUAACCACUUGGGAAUACCACAUGCUGUAG